rnacentral:rRNA from 1 species
GAUGAACGCUGGCGGCGUGCUUAACACAUGCAAGUCGAACGAGAAGUGAAGACGGAAACCUUCGGGCGGAAGGCUUUAUUUCGAGUGGCGGACGGGUGAGUAACGCGUGGGUACCCUGCCUCAUACAGGGGGAUAACAGUUGGAAACGACUGUUAAUACCGCAUAAGACCACAGCACCGCAUGGUGCGGGGGUAAAAACUCCGGUGGUAUGAGAUGGACCCGCGUUCGAUUAGCCAGUUGGCGGGGUAACGGCCCACCAAAGCGACGAUCGAUAGCCGAUCUGAGAGGAUGACCGGCCACAUUGGGACUGAGACACGGCCCAAACUCCUACGGGAGGCAGCAGUGGGGAAUAUUGCACAAUGGGGGAAACCCUGAUGCAGCGACGCCGCGUGAGUGAAGAAGUAUUUCGGUAUGUAAAGCUCUAUCAGCAGGGAAGAAAAUGACGGUACCUGAGUAAGAAGCCCCGGCUAACUACGUG